AGCUGAGGAAAAAGGAACCAACAGGGAUUGCCCCAGUAACGGCGAGUGAAGCGGCAACAGCUCAAAUUUGAAAUCUGGCCCCCCGGCCCGAGUUGUAAUUUGGAGAGGAUGCUUCUGGCGCGGCGCCGUCCGAGUUCCUUGGAACAGGACGCCACAGAGGGUGAGAGCCCCGUACGGACGGACGCCUAGCCUCUACGAAGCUCCUUCGACGAGUCGAGUAGUUUGGGAAUGCUGCUCAAAAUGGGAGGUAAAUUUCUUCUAAAGCUAAAUACCGGCCAGAGACCGAUAGCGCACAAGUAGAGUGAUCGAAAGAUGAAAAGCACUUUGAAAAGAGGGUUAAAAAGUACGUGAAAUUGUUGAAAGGGAAGCGCCUGUGACCAGACUUGCGCCCCGCGGACCACCCGGCGUUCUCGCCGGUGCACUCUGCGGUGCGCAGGCCAGCAUCGGUUCUCCCAGGGGGACAAAGGCCGCGGGAACGUAGCUCCUUCGGGAGUGUUAUAGCCCGCGGCGGCAUGCCCCUGGGGGGACCGAGGACCGCGCUUCGGCAAGGAUGCUGGCGUAAUGGUCACCAGCGACCCGUCUUGAAGACCAAA
rnacentral:rRNA from 1 species